GUGACUUGGCUUUGUUUAUGGCAAGAGUGUUGUCCUUGCUAGCCAAGCGGCGUACUGACAUGAAACACAUAAUAAAAUCUGUUUGUAAUCACAAAAUGUGUACUUGCAAUUGAGCGAUUGUUUAUGGAUCAUACUACCACUAACUGAAAUAUUUUCUAAUAAGCUAAUUGAUUGAUCCUUUGGUGGUUUAAGUUAUUGAGUCUUUACUGUAAGAUUUUGUGCUAUUUGUUAUUGAUGUUUGUGAUGUUACUGUUGUGAUGUUUUGUGUU